rnacentral:rRNA from 1 species
GGUUAAGCGACUAAGCGUACACGGUGGAUGCCCUGGCAGUCAGAGGCGAUGAAGGACGUGCUAAUCUGCGAAAAGCGUCGGUAAGGUGAUAUGAACCGUUAUAACCGGCGAUGUCCGAAUGGGGAAACCCAGUGUGUUCCGACACACUAUCAUUAACUGAAUCCAUAGGUUAAUGAGGCGAACCGGGGGAACUGAAACAUCUAAGUACCCCGAGGAAAAGAAAUCAACCGAGAUUCCCCCAGUAGCGGCGAGCGAACGGGGAGGAGCCCAGAGCCUGAAUCAGUGUGUGUGUUAGUGGAAGCGUCUGGAAAGGCGUGCGAUACAGGGUGACAGCCCCGUACACGAAAAUGCACAUGCUGUGAGCUCGAAGAGUAGGGCGGGACACGUGGUAUCCUGUCUGAAUAUGGGGGGACCAUCCUCCAAGGCUAAAUACUCCUGACUGACCGAUAGUGAACCAGUACCGUGAGGGAAAGGCGAAAAGAACCCCGGCGAGGGGAGUGAAAAAGAACCUGAAACCGUGUACGUACAAGCAGUGGGAGCCCUGAUUUAUCAGGGUGACUGCGUACCUUUUGUAUAAUGGGUCAGCGACUUAUAUUCUGUAGCAAGGUUAACCGAAUAGGGGAGCCGGAGGGAAACCGAGUCUUAACUGGGCGUUAAGUUGCAGGGUAUAGACCCGAAACCCGGUGAUCUAGCCAUGGGCAGGUUGAAGGUUGGGUAACACUAACUGGAGGACCGAACCGACUAAUGUUGAAAAAUUAGCGGAUGACUUGUGGCUGGGGGUGAAAGGCCAAUCAAACCGGGAGAUAGCUGGUUCUCCCCGAAAGCUAUUUAGGUAGCGCCUCGUGAAUUCAUCUCCGGGGGUAGAGCACUGUUUCGGCAAGGGGGUCAUCCCGACUUACCAACCCGAUGCAAACUGCGAAUACCGGAGAAUGUUAUCACGGGAGACACACGGCGGGUGCUAACGUCCGUCGUGAAGAGGGAAACAACCCAGACCGCCAGCUAAGGUCCCAAAGUCAUGGUUAAGUGGGAAACGAUGUGGGAAGGCCCAGACAGCCAGGAUGUUGGCUUAGAAGCAGCCAUCAUUUAAAGAAAGCGUAAUAGCUCACUGGUCGAGUCGGCCUGCGCGGAAGAUGUAACGGGGCUAAACCAUGCACCGAAGCUGCGGCAGCGACACUGUGUGUUGUUGGGUAGGGGAGCGUUCUGUAAGCCUGUGAAGGUGUGCUGUGAGGCAUGCUGGAGGUAUCAGAAGUGCGAAUGCUGACAUAAGUAACGAUAAAGCGGGUGAAAAGCCCGCUCGCCGGAAGACCAAGGGUUCCUGUCCAACGUUAAUCGGGGCAGGGUGAGUCGACCCCUAAGGCGAGGCCGAAAGGCGUAGUCGAUGGGAAACAGGUUAAUAUUCCUGUACUUGGUGUUACUGCGAAGGGGGGACGGAGAAGGCUAUGUUGGCCGGGCGACGGUUGUCCCGGUUUAAGCGUGUAGGCUGGUUUUCCAGGCAAAUCCGGAGAAUCAAGGCUGAGGCGUGAUGACGAGGCACUACGGUGCUGAAGCAACAAAUGCCCUGCUUCCAGGAAAAGCCUCUAAGCAUCAGGUAACAUCAAAUCGUACCCCAAACCGACACAGGUGGUCAGGUAGAGAAUACCAAGGCGCUUGAGAGAACUCGGGUGAAGGAACUAGGCAAAAUGGUGCCGUAACUUCGGGAGAAGGCACGCUGAUAUGUAGGUGAAGCGACUUGCUCGUGGAGCUGAAAUCAGUCGAAGAUACCAGCUGGCUGCAACUGUUUAUUAAAAACACAGCACUGUGCAAACACGAAAGUGGACGUAUACGGUGUGACGCCUGCCCGGUGCCGGAAGGUUAAUUGAUGGGGUCAGCGCAAGCGAAGCUCUUGAUCGAAGCCCCGGUAAACGGCGGCCGUAACUAUAACGGUCCUAAGGUAGCGAAAUUCCUUGUCGGGUAAGUUCCGACCUGCACGAAUGGCGUAAUGAUGGCCAGGCUGUCUCCACCCGAGACUCAGUGAAAUUGAACUCGCUGUGAAGAUGCAGUGUACCCGCGGCAAGACGGAAAGACCCCGUGAACCUUUACUAUAGCUUGACACUGAACACUGGUCCUUGAUGUGUAGGAUAGGUGGGAGGCUUUGAAGUGUGGACGCCAGUCUGCAUGGAGCCGUCCUUGAAAUACCACCCUUUAAUGGCUGGUGUUCUAACGUUGGCCCGUAAUCCGGGUUGCGGACAGUGUCUGGUGGGUAGUUUGACUGGGGCGGUCUCCUCCUAAAGAGUAACGGAGGAGCACGAAGGUUGGCUAAUCCUGGUCGGACAUCAGGAGGUUAGUGCAAUGGCAUAAGCCAGCUUGACUGCGAGCGUGACGGCGCGAGCAGGUGCGAAAGCAGGUCAUAGUGAUCCGGUGGUUCUGAAUGGAAGGGCCAUCGCUCAACGGAUAAAAGGUACUCCGGGGAUAACAGGCUGAUACCGCCCAAGAGUUCAUAUCGACGGCGGUGUUUGGCACCUCGAUGUCGGCUCAUCACAUCCUGGGGCUGAAGUAGGUCCCAAGGGUAUGGCUGUUCGCCAUUUAAAGUGGUACGCGAGCUGGGUUUAGAACGUCGUGAGACAGUUCGGUCCCUAUCUGCCGUGGGCGCUGGAGAACUGAGGGGGGCUGCUCCUAGUACGAGAGGACCGGAGUGGACGCAUCACUGGUGUUCGGGUUGUCAUGCCAAUGGCACUGCCCGGUAGCUAAAUGCGGAAGAGAUAAGUGCUGAAAGCAUCUAAGCACGAAACUUGCCCCGAGAUGAGUUCUCCCUGAGACAUUAAGUCUCCUGAAGGAACGUUGAAGACGACGACGUUGAUAGGCCGGGUGUGUAAGCGCAGCGAUGCGUUGAGCUAACCGGUACUAAUGAACCGUGAGGCUUAACCUU